rnacentral:rRNA from 1 species
UACGAAGGGGGCUAGCGUUGCUCGGAAUGACUGGGCGUAAAGGGCGCGUAGGCGGUUUGGACAGUCAGAUGUGAAAUUCCUGGGCUCAACCUGGGGGCUGCAUUUGAUACGUUCGGACUAGAGUGGGGAAGAGGGUCGUGGAAUUCCCAGUGUAGAGGUGAAAUUCGUAGAUAUUGGGAAGAACACCAACGGCGAAGGCAGCUCGCUAGGACGGUACUGACGCUGAGACGCGAAAGCGUGGGGAGCGAACAGG